rnacentral:rRNA from 1 species
ACGGAAGGCAGCAGUGGGGAAUAUUGGUCAAUGGGGGAAACCCUGAACCAGCAACGCCGCGUGAAGGAAGAAGGCUUUCGGGUUGUAAACUUCUUUUAUCUGUGACGAUAGUGACGGUAGCAGAUGAAUAAGCCACGGCUAACUACGUGCCAGCAGCCGCGGUAAUACGUAGGUGGCAAGCGUUAUCCGGAUUUACUGGGUGUAAAGGGCGCGUAGGCGGGAUAACAAGUCAGAUGUGAAAACUAUGGGCUUAACCCAUAGCCUGCAUUUGAAACUGUAAUUCUUGAGUGUCGGAGAGGUUGGCGGAAUUCCGUGUGUAGCGGUGAAAUGCGUAGAUAUACGGAAGAACACCAGUGGCGAAGGCGGCCAACUGGACGAUAACUGACGCUGAGGCGCGAAAGCGUGGGGAGCGAACAGGAUUAGAUACCCUGGUA